UACGUAGGGUGCAAGCGUUUGUCCGGAAUUAUUGGGCGUAAAGAGCUCGUAGGCGGUCUGUCGCGUCUGCUGUGAAAACUCAGGGCUUAACCCUGAGCUUGCAGUGGGUACGGGCAGACUAGAGUGCGGUAGGGGAGACUGGAAUUCCUGGUGUAGCGGUGAAAUGCGCAGAUAUCAGGAGGGAACACCGGUGGCGAAGGCGGGUCUCUGGGCCGAUACUGACGCUGGAGGAGC
rnacentral:rRNA from 1 species